rnacentral:rRNA from 1 species
UAGGGAAUCUUCCACAAUGGACACAAGUCUGAUGGAGCAACGCCGCGUGAGUGAAGAAGGGUUUCGGCUCGUAAAGCUCUGUUGGUAGUGAAGAAAGAUAGAGGUAGUAACUGGCCUUUAUUUGACGGUAAUUACUUAGAAAGUCACGGCUAACUACGUGCCAGCAGCCGCGGUAAUACGUAGGUGGCAAGCGUUGUCCGGAUUUAUUGGGCGUAAAGCGAGUGCAGGCGGUUCAAUAAGUCUGAUGUGAAAGCCUUCGGCUCAACCGGAGAAUUGCAUCAGAAACUGUUGAACUUGAGUGCAGAAGAGGAGAGUGGAACUCCAUGUGUAGCGGUGGAAUGCGUAGAUAUAUGGAAGAACACCAGUGGCGAAGGCGGCUCUCUGGUCUGCAACUGACGCUGAGGCUCGAAAGCAUGGGUAGCGAACAGGAUUAGAUACCCUGGUAGUCCAUGCCGUAAACGAUGAGUGCUAAGUGUUGGGAGGUUUCCGCCUCUCAGUGCUGCAGCUAACGCAUUAAGCACUCCGCCUGGGGAGUACGACCGCAAGGUUGAAACUCAAAGGAAUUGACGGGGGCCCGCACAAGCGGUGGAGCAUGUGGUUUAAUUCGAAGCAACGCGAAGAACCUUACCAGGUCUUGACAUCCAGUGCAAACCUAAGAGAUUAGGAGUUCCCUUCGGGGACGCUGAGACAGGUGGUGCAUGGCUGUCGUCAGCUCGUGUCGUGAGAUGUUGGGUUAAGUCCCGCAACGAGCGCAACCCUUGUCAUUAGUUGCCAUCAUUAAGUUGGGCACUCUAAUGAGACUGCCGGUGACAAACCGGAGGAAGGUGGGGAUGACGUCAAGUCAUCAUGCCCCUUAUGACCUGGGCUACACACGUGCUACAAUGGACGGUACAACGAGAA